rnacentral:tRNA from 1 species
UUACACUGGKUCUUGUAAACCAGAAAUGAAGAACUUAUCUUCUUAGAACAUCA